GAUGAACGCUGGCGGCGUGCCUAAUACAUGCAAGUCGAGCGAACGGACGAGAAGCUUGCUUCUCUGAUGUUAGCGGCGGACGGGUGAGUAACACGUGGAUAACCUACCUAUAAGACUGGGAUAACUUCGGGAAACCGGAGCUAAUACCGGAUAAUAUUUUGAACCGCAUGGUUCAAAAGUGAAAGACGGUCUUGCUGUCACUUAUAGAUGGAUCCGCGCUGCAUUAGCUAGUUGGUAAGGUAACGGCUUACCAAGGCAACGAUGCAUAGCCGACCUGAGAGGGUGAUCGGCCACACUGGAACUGAGACACGGUCCAGACUCCUACGGGAGGCAGCAGUAGGGAAUCUUCCGCAAUGGGCGAAAGCCUGACGGAGCAACGCCGCGUGAGUGAUGAAGGUCUUCGGAUCGUAAAACUCUGUUAUUAGGGAAGAACAUAUGUGUAAGUAACUGUGCACAUCUUGACGGUACCUAAUCAGAAAGCCACGGCUAACUACGUGCCAGCAGCCGCGGUAAUACGUAGGUGGCAAGCGUUAUCCGGAAUUAUUGGGCGUAAAGCGCGCGUAGGCGGUUUUUUAAGUCUGAUGUGAAAGCCCACGGCUCAACCGUGGAGGGUCAUUGGAAACUGGAAAACUUGAGUGCAGAAGAGGAAAGUGGAAUUCCAUGUGUAGCGGUGAAAUGCGCAGAGAUAUGGAGGAACACCAGUGGCGAAGGCGACUUUCUGGUCUGUAACUGACGCUGAUGUGCGAAAGCGUGGGGAUCAAACAGGAUUAGAUACCCUGGUAGUCCACGCCGUAAUCGAUGAGUGCUAAGUGUUAGGGGGUUUCCGCCCCUUAGUGCUGCAGCUAACGCAUUAAGCACUCCGCCUGGGGAGUACGACCGCAAGGUUGAAACUCAAAGGAAUUGACGGGGACCCGCACAAGCGGUGGAGCAUGUGGUUUAAUUCGAAGCAACGCGAAGAACCUUACCAAAUCUUGACAUCCUUUGACAACUCUAGAGAUAGAGCCUUCCCCUUCGGGGGACAAAGUGACAGGUGGUGCAUGGUUGUCGUCAGCUCGUGUCGUGAGAUGUUGGGUUAAGUCCCGCAACGAGCGCAACCCUUAAGCUUAGUUGCCAUCAUUAAGUUGGGCACUCUAAGUUGACUGCCGGUGACAAACCGGAGGAAGGUGGGGAUGACGUCAAAUCAUCAUGCCCCUUAUGAUUUGGGCUACACACGUGCUACAAUGGACAAUACAAAGGGUAGCGAAACCGCGAGGUCAAGCAAAUCCCAUAAAGUUGUUCUCAGUUCGGAUUGUAGUCUGCAACUCGACUACAUGAAGCUGGAAUCGCUAGUAAUCGUAGAUCAGCAUGCUACGGUGAAUACGUUCCCGGGUCU
rnacentral:rRNA from 1 species